AAAAAGAGUCGGUUGGCUAUGUAUGCCACACAUAUCUUUAAAUGAUGGGCGUUGUAUGGUUAUAAAGACAUAUGGCUGAUAUAAUUUAUGGAUGGUAUAGGGUUGGCUUGCUUGGCUAAUCCUUUU